GCCACUUUCAGCCUCAGUUCGUCACAUUUGCUUGUCUUGGGAACUUGUGCUCGUUUGUGGUGAAUCUUUCCGUUGUUCUCGUCGUAGUUGUUCCUUUGUCUUUUUUCUGGAGUCAUCUCUGCCUCUGGCGCUUUGUUGCUUCAUUUGGGGGUGUAAAUGUUAAAAAAAGUUGACAAUUAUUUUCCAUAGUUUUCGUUACUUCUGCGCUGGUGGCUUGUUGAAAUUGUGAUCGUCAGACACUUCACGUAGUAUCUUUUCAAGAAAUAGUGCUUUCUUUGGUGGCGUUUUGUGUAAGUUCAACAGUGAAUGUUUUAGCGAUAAAGAUACUUUCGUUGUGUUAUUUCGUUCACUUUGUGGAGCGUCUGUUGACAUCGUCUGCGGCGUACUAUCAGACACUGCAUUCUACGUACUUUUCUCCAUCUUCACCUUUUGGGCGACACUAAAGGAGCUUUUGUGAGACGUUCAAAAGUAUCUAUCAUAUUUCAUCGUGGAAAAACGGGAGUAUACAAAUCCGUCUUAAUGACUACCGAAAUUUUAUCGCGAAUUAUGUUAAGUUCAUUGGACGCUCUGGCGGGAAAGAUAUCACCGGGUUCGGGUAAAUCAAGUCCGACCGACAUACGUCCCACAUAUAAGGGAGGUAGUCCUGGCGGCGUAGGUGGAUGCGGUUCAAUUUUGGAUAGUAGCUUCAGUAAAUUAAACCAUUUCAAUCAUAAUAACAUUCAUCCGUACCAAAAGCCAAAGGAUCAUAAUUGCGUGAAGGAAAAUGGAAUCAGCAUGAACAGCAGCAAUACGAGCCUUCAGAACAAUAAUAACAAUAAUAGUAUAAACAACAACAACGAUAGUGUUUGCAACAAUAAUAACACAUGCAGUCCGAAUAAGAAUCUCACGAAUGGAUCGACCGUAGACUCGAUGACAACAGGCGUAACGUUCAGCAAUGAGCAGCCGGAUCCCGAUUAUAUUAAAAUGUUUGUGGGCCAAGUACCGAAGUCGAUGGACGAGGAGCAACUUAGGGAGAUGUUCGAGGAAUUCGGGCGAGUGCAUUCGAUAAAUGUACUGCGCGACAAGGGAACAGGUGUUAGUAAAGGGUGCUGUUUUGUAACGUUCUUCACAAGAAAGGCUGCCCUGAAGGCACAAGAUGCACUGCACAAUGUCAAAACACUUGUUGGGAUGCAUCAUCCAAUUCAAAUGAAGCCGGCAGAUAGUGAAAACCGCAAUGAACGGAAAUUAUUCGUUGGCAUGCUUAAUAAGAAACUGAACGAGAACGAUGUUCGGAAACUGUUUGAGUGUCACGGGACAAUCGAAGAGUGUACAGUACUACGUGAUCAGAAUGGACAAAGUAAAGGCUGUGCAUUUGUAACAUUCGCAACAAAACAAUCAGCAAUCUCAGCAAUUAAAGUAGCAUUGCAUCAAAGUCAAACAAUGGAUGGAUGUUCAUCGCCUUUAGUUGUUAAAUUUGCCGAUACACAAAAAGAGAAGGAGCAAAAGAAAAUGCAACAAAUGCAAGCCAAUCUGUGGAAUUUAGCAGCUAAUAUCAAUAUACCUUUGGCACAAACAGCAACCUCCGUGACAACACCGAUCCUACCAAACCCUCCGCAACAAGCUAGUCCAGUUUUAGGAGCAGAUGCAAUAACGCCUGCAUCGUUACAACUUUUACAGCAAUUACAAGCUGUAGGUUUACAGCAACAAUUAUUACAAGGUAUAGGCGCACAAUCAGCAACAGAUACAGCGACAGCGGCUGCUGCUGCAGCUGGCCUUCUACCUCAAAUGACUGUACAAAAUUUAGCCGCUCUAGCUGCGAUUACGCAACCAUCGUUAACAGCUGCAACCCAACCAACCAGUGCCGCCCACCUUUCAAAUGCAGCAGCAUUACUAUGUCUGUUAGGAAAAACUGCCAAUUCAGGGUCUGAUACAAAUCCAUUGACUUCCGCGUAUGUGUCGUCGGCCACAGGAUUACCACAAUUUGGUAGUAGUUCUUUGUCCACGUCACCUUUGGCUAGCGUCGCACUCACUACAGCAGCUGCAGCUGCCGCUGGGAAGCAAAUUGAAGGACCAGAGGGAUGCAAUCUGUUUAUUUAUCAUUUGCCACAGGAAUUCACUGACACAGAUUUAGCAUCGACGUUUUUGCCGUUCGGAAAUGUUAUUUCCGCAAAAGUUUUUAUUGACAAACAAACGAAUCUGUCAAAGUGUUUUGGUUUUGUGUCAUUUGAUAAUCAGGAAUCGGCUCAGGCAGCCAUCAAAGCGAUGCACGGUUUCCAGAUUGGUACUAAGCGGCUCAAAGUGCAAUUGAAAAAACCAAAAGAUGCGUCAAAGCCUUACUAGAUCAAUUUUCCGUUAAUAGAGCAUUCAACCUUUACGAAAAUGCGUAACUAUAAGGUAAGGUAGAUAAGAAGUACCAUUGUUGCCACCGUAGCUGAUCCUACUACUGACGAAAUAAGUUUCACGUGACUGCGGAGCUGAAUAAGUAGUACGAGCUGUCUGCGCUUCCUCUGUGUAUAGAAUUCCUUCUCAAUGUUUAUAUACGAAAUGAAUCAGAAGUGGUGAUGCAUGAAAGGCUAAACACACAUUUUCGGACGAAUUGAUUCGAUUCAAGUCGACAUUAUAUUCAGUGCACUGACAAAUCAUUGAAAAUGAAACUAGCAAGCAUAAAAAAAAAUCCAGACGUUCACACCGGGACAAUUGAGUGAAGAUAAUAUUAUCAUUUUUGUUCUUUUUUAAACAAAAUCAGUAAUUGGGCGAAUUAUAAUGGGAGUAAAAUUCAGUCGUUAUUUAUUGAAAAGGAAUCGAUAAAAACCUUUUGGAAACUAAUCAAUCAUUGUAAUAACUCCCUCCUAUUCGCAAAAAAUAUCGAACGGAUUAAAUGAAAAUGGUAAUAAAAUUGGAAAUUGGAAUAAUUAUGUGCCACGGUGUAUUGACAAUGUCUUGAUAUAAUAACGAGCAAAGGCUUAUGUUUGGCAUUUUCAUUAAUUUUCGAAACGGAGGACGAAUUUUGAAAGAGACGAAGAGGUGUCCUCAUGUGUUAAUUUCUAUGUAUUAUGUUUAUUUUUAUAUUUGUCCGAUUUCCUCUUUUUGCUCUUGUAUUAUUUUGCCACGAAUUAUUUUUGUGUUUGUUUUAUAUUAAUGUGGACGAUGAGCAAGACCGAGAAUAAGUACGGGUCUCACAAAGUGAAAAGUAUAAUAACGUAUUAAAAUGAAUGAAUUGUUCUAUAUCCGAUAUAUGCGCAUAUGGCUUGGAUAUGUUUCUUUUGGAUUUGAUAAAGAAAAUUUAUAGUUUUUAUUUAUAUUUA
rnacentral:misc_RNA from 1 species